rnacentral:lncRNA from 1 species
CCAGAGAGAGGAAACAGCCCUGGACCCUUUCCUCUCAAAGACAAUGAAAUCCUUUCCCAGGGAGGCCACCCUGGAGCACCACGGUGGCGGGCCCUGGUCUGAGACCUGGUGUGCAAGCAGGCAGGCGCGUCCCUUCCCAGGACAGCCGUGGUUCACUGCCGAGCAAGGCCUUGGGGCUGGAACCAGGGAGCGUGCAGGGGAGGGUUGACUGUGCAGGGUGACCCGCCCUGCAUCCUGACCAUUUCUGCUUGAGCCUCCAUCACCAUGGACAAACAGGCAGGAAUUUCCAACAAAGACAGGGAUGGGGUGGGAAAAGGGCCUGGAGGGGGAGUGGUGGAGUUUUGAGUCAUGAGGCAUCCAGGGUGUGAUGUCUGUGCAAGAGCCAGAGAUAAGAUGUGCAGAGAUGGCUGGGGCGAUUGGGAAGCACGAGGCAGAGAGGCCGGAUCCGGGAAACAGUCCUGGAUUCACUGCAAGAUUGGCAUCCGCCUAUGCCAAUUUGUAAAUACUUUUGGAAAUGCCCUUUGCCCAGGAGGCACUUGGCGAAACCUCUUGCUUACUGUGUGGCCAGCCAGCCGUAGGAGAGGUUGAAGCCCAGCUCGGCAGGCUUGUGCUGCGGAACCAGAGGAGGCAGCCUGAUUGGCCGGGCAGGCACGGUGCUGCGGGGCCCCUGGCCUGACCACCCAACAGGUCAGAGCCGUUAAAGCAGGGCAGGACCCGAGAGGGGGGACUGAGAUGCACGAUCGCUCACCCAUCCCCGCAAGGCUGAGGAUCUGCACAAACCUGCUGUCGGUGACGUUUUUCUUGAGAACAUUGGAGAAAUCUGAAUGUUGAAUGAGUGUUACAAAAGGUGAAACUUGACUGACAUGGAAAGCUGGAUUGUUAACUGAAAAAAGUUUAAAAAUGCAUAUAUGGUGUGAUCUCAUUUUGGACAAAAUAAUAAUGAAUAUGUACCAUAGGUGUUAAUAGUGAUAUUGAUUGGGUGCUAAAAAUCUUUUCCCCUUAUUUUUUCUUAUUUUUGUGGCUCUAUGUUUUCUCACACUUAAGUUUUUUUGGUCAUUGUCUUCAACUGCUACAAUGAACAUAUACCUCUUUUAUUAUGUUAAAAGGUUGUUUUUAACUAAAAAACAUUUGUUAAAAAUUGCUCCUCUGCAAGAGAACAGCCUGAGUCGUGGUUGGAGCCAUGGUCCUAUGGGACAGGAAGAACUAACCUCUCUGCUCCUUUGCUCCCAGCCACAGCUUAGAACUCAAACUCCACCUGAGUUUGACCCGUGCUGAGUUGCUUCAGUUGUGUUCAACUCUUUGUGACCCUAUGCACUGUAGCCCACCAGGUUCCGCUGUCCAUGGGAUUUCCCAGGCAAGAAUACUGCGGUAGGUUGCCAUUUCCUCCUCCAGGGGAUGUUCCUGAUCCAGGAAUUGAACCUACAUCCCUUAUGUCUCCUGCAUUGGCAGGCAGUUUCUUUACCACUAGCGCAAUCUGGGAAGCCCUGAGUUUGGCACAAGGUCCAGAUAGAGCUAAUUAUUGCAGAGCAAAAAACAGACUUGACUCUAAGAUGAUGAGUGAUUAGUGAGUGAUUAAAAAAAAAAAGAUAACUCAGCCUGGCCUCCUCAACCAGCCCAGGCCAGGCUUGCCCCAAACUUCUCUUUGUAUGAAAAUCCAACUCCAUGUUAAUAGUGGGUUGGGGAAAUAAAAAAGCAGAAUUUGAAGGAUAAAGUUGCUAA